ensembl:lncRNA
GCAAAGCUGCUGUCAUAAUCCACAGGUAUAAAAUGGGAGGUAUUACAGGCACUGCAGCCACCAGGGAGACCAUAUGGUACCACGUGUGCUCUGUCCUCACAGUUCACUGCUUGAUACUUUUGGAAAGCUACGCUUUUCUCCAUUUCACUGAGCGCCGUCAUUCUGUGACGUUUGGCCACACGAUGCUUUUCAACUUGGACUCCAGGUCAAGUUUUUUUUUUCUGUAAUUUAGAUGUUGGUGGAUUAAUCUUCUGCUUAGGAAACCAAAGCAGGUCUCUCAAUGAGGCUCAUUCUUUUACAUUCUUUAAAGCUGUAUUUGUUAUCUCCUCAAAGCGGGCAGUUUUUAAUCCUCUGUGUUGUUUGUGUCAGGAUGACCUUGCACGACCUGCUUGUGACAGGCCGCCUUUAACGGGGCCACAUAUCUGCAGUUUUAUGGGGAAUAAGAACAAGUUUGUGAUAUGAAAAGGUGUUUUGUUUGACAUCCUGACUUGUGAAGCGGACGGAUAACGUGAAUAUGGUUAAUUCAUGUACUUUCCUCGUUCCUACUUUAUAUUCUGUAGCAGUGAGUAAACUGUCAAGUAAAGUUGCUGCGAGUAGCAAAAAAAUCUGGAUGUGUUGCAUAACCGUAGAUUCUGACUGCGCACUUUCUCAGAAGGAGGAAAAAAACCUCAAUGACUUAAAAAUCCACUCUUGUGCCAUUUUCUUUCAUGUUCUUUGGCCGCUGCAAAAUCAAACUCUAAAAUUGUCUUUGCAGAAAAAACUCAAGGCAAUGCAGACUUUCAUCUCAAUAAGUGAUUAGAAGUAAUCAAUCAUCAAACAUCACGUUGGCCAACUUCAAUUUAGCAGUUUUUAUUAGCAGCCGUGUGUGUGUGAGUGUUUUCCACCGACUCGCACUGACUAAUGUGAAGUCCCGUUGUGUAAACUUUACUCUACUUCGCCGCUCGCUCUCUCUUGGUCAUUUGCCGUCCGUCUAUACAGCAACCUGACCGGUCCGGCUUGAUGUGACCACGGGCCAUUUCGAUAAUUGAUGCUGAGGCAGGCAGUUUCUUUCAGUAUGUCCUUAAGUCGCCUAUUAAAGGCGGCUCUUGGCCCUUAAGCCCCAGCGUCCAGAGAGCGGGGGAGCUAUCAACGUGUCUUUGUGGGGAUCAGCAGGGUGGUGAGGAGGGAGACGAGGCCUCCUGGAAUAGAACAUGCUGACGGGAGUGCACCCACAGCAGGAAACGUCUCUCUACUCCAAAGCACGUUUAAGAGCCCACAGAGUGUUCCUGAGCAGGAGUGAUGUGAACUACCGGAGGGUUUCUUUCAUCUCUUUCUGGUAUCUCGAGGAGUGAAUUCCCCAAACGAACGAAUGAAGGUAUUGAAAGUCUUUCAGAGAAUCAACAACUAGGGAUUCAAUCCGAGAACGUCUGCUGAAGCACCGAAAUGGGGAUUAUUUGCAGCCGGCGAGCUGUUAUAUUGAUCUCUGGAACAUCUACAGCCACUUGACUGAGAUUUAUACUUCACUUUGUAAAUCCCCAUUAAGGGCCCUCCGGGGGCUGCUGUUGGAUGAAACCAUAUUGACAAAUGAAGUGAAGACUGAUCUGAAGCUAUUGUACUAUUAGCUUCUCGUGAAAUCAAGCGAGUGUGUGUGGGAGAAAGCGAGAGGGGCCCAUAAGUCUAAUUAAGCCCCACUGAGCGUGCUGCUCUGCUGACUGGAGAACUUGUUCAUUUGUUUCAUUUCUUCAUCAUUUUCCCUCUGAAACCUUUUCUUGGCCCUGUGGCUUGUGGGAAACUAUAUCCCAAUGUGAUCCCCCUUUAAAAAAAACAACAAUCCACACUCUCUAACCGAAAUGACCCAGCAGGGUUUCGCCGUUCCUCACAUCUUCUGACAAACAAAAUAUAACUUGCACACGGCACGAUUUCAACCUCUGAAACACUCCCCGACUUCCGAGAUGAGCGACCCAAACUACUGGGCUGCGGAUUACAAUCCCUCCUCCACUGCUCCGGCUGCGUUCCCCAGGGGCUCCACGGUGCUGCAGCCCCUCCCCGGGCACCCCGAGCAGGGAACCGCCCUGUGCUUCGUGGGCCUUCUCGUGCUGUUCCUGCUCUUUCUCAUCGUUCGCUGCGUCCGGAUCUUGUUGGACCCGUACAGCAGCAUACCAGCCUCAUCGUGGACGGAUCACAAGGAGGGACUGGACAGGGGACAAUUUGAUUAUGCACUGGUGUGAAGACGUGUGGGGGGGAAUGGAAGAUGAAGAGAGGGAUGAAGGUGGGGAUAUGUUCAGGGAUAUGCCGUGGGUUCGGUGUCAUGCAACAAGGUUCUAUAGUCACAAAGUUUCAGCUCCAUAAAAUGAAAGAAAAUGCAUUUGGUUUGUCGUUGGUUGGGGCAACAUGCACACGGACCAUCAAACGGCAUCUGUGUAAGGAUUCAAUUCAGAGAGAAAAGGAGAAUCCGUUAUAAUUUGCUGGUAAUUGAUGUAAUGUGACUCUUGUUGUUACUCUGCAGCUUCCAGAGUGACAAAUUGCAGGACGACAGCGAUCAGUAUCACAGCAUUACAUUAUGACUCCUGUUUGUUUGUUUCGUUUCCCAGAGCUGAAUUAUAAAUAGAGAGCAGCGCUGCUGCAAGAGAGGUACUGAUUGAAUAAAAGUGAAAUGGAAUGAGUUUAAACAUGGAAGUCAUUCAGACAGAACUGUGUUACAGCCGAUUUACAGCAAGAUUGUUAACUUCAUACAUCGAUUUGCUGUUAAAGUAUAAGAGUGUAUCUGUCUUUUUUUUUCCUUAAAUCUAGCUGAAUAAUUUAGAAGAUGUCAGUUUCUCUGGAACAGGGAACCUUUUUUAUGGGAUCCGUGCAUUUGUACGACCUCUAACAUGAUCCUCAGGGAUAACGAUUUCUAAUUAACCUCAGGCUCGAUAUCAUCAGAGGAAACCACCCCCUGAAAUUGAGCUACAGCUGUUAUUAUAUUUCAUUUCUCAAUUUUCUUAAAGAUUAACUGUGCACUAAAGCUGAUGUUUAUAAUACAUUCCAGUUAAUACUAAUUAUUUUAUUUGGAGUUUUGCUAUUCCAUGCCGCCGUCCUCUUAAGAGGCUUAUGAGGCUCAGUGCAGAGUCACACUGACUGGAUACGACUCAUAUAAAGUUAGGAUUAUGAAAUGCAUGUGCACCAAUUUACUUCCUCUAAUCCUUUUUGCCUUUAGACCCAGUCCAGCGCACAAGACAAAUCUGGUCAACAGUGCCUGCAGGAAUAAGAGAAGAGCUUCAAAUUAUUUCAUACUAACUAAAUACUGCUUACUUUGACACUUCUAUGGUUUAAAGUCCUCUAUAUAAAUGAACUUAACCAUCAAUAGUUCUUGGGAACUGUUCUACAGUUGUUUGGUUUCAUUAAUUAUGACCACAGGAAUAACGCUUUGCUGGUAAAAUGAAAUUGAUAUUUUCCUGAUGUUUCCUAAAAUUAGAAUUCUGCUUUCAAUCAAAUAAAAAAGCUUUGAUUUGUA